AAGCUGCGAUAAGUAAUGCGAAUUGCAGAACUCAGCGAGUCAUCGAGUCUUCGAACGCACAUUGCGCCCCCUGGAGCCCCAGGGGGCACGCCUGUCCGAGCGUCGUUGGACCCCCCAUUCGGGUGCCUCCCUUACCCCGUCCCGGUGCGCGUGAGGCCGGUGGAGGUGGGGGAUCGAUCGGCGCCUGGCCUUGGGCCUUCUACGCCCCUGUGUGGGCGGGCCUGCAUGCUCCACAACCGGUCCCUCCCAAGCCCCCGAGCGUAGCAGCGUCCCCCACCUGCUCGAGGUGGUGCGGGGGGGUUGCACCGGCGACGCCCGAUGGCCUCACCGGCCUGCCCGGUGAGGUCCAUCCACUGUUUGACCUCGGAUCAGGCGGGGCUACCCGCUGAACUUAAGC
rnacentral:misc_RNA from 1 species